AUACGGAGGGGGUUAGCGUUGUUCGGAAUUACUGGGCGUAAAGCGCACGUAGGCGGACUGGAAAGUUGGGGGUGAAAUCCCGGGGCUCAACCCCGGAACUGCCUCCAAAACUGUCAAUCUAGAGAUCGAGAGAGGUGAGUGGAAUUCCAAGUGUAGAGGUGAAAUUCGUAGAUAUUUGGAGGAACACCAGUGGCGAAGGCGGCUCACUGGCUCGAUACUGACGCUGAGGUGCGAAAGCGUGGGGAGCAAACAGGAUUAGAUACCCCAGUAGUCC
rnacentral:rRNA from 1 species